rnacentral:rRNA from 1 species
UCGUUGGGUCCUUGAGGACUUAGUGACGCAGCUAACGCAAUAAGUAGACCGCCUGGGGAGUACGGCCGCAAGGUUAAAACUCAAAUGAAUUGACGGGGGCCCGCACAAGCGGUGGAGCAUGUGGUUUAAUUCGAUGCAACGCGAAGAACCUUACCUGGUCUUGACAUAUCUAGAAUCCUGCANAGAUGCGGGAGUGCCUUCGGGAAUUAGAAUACAGGUGCUGCAUGGCUGUCGUCAGCUCGUGUCGUGAGAUGUUGGGUUAAGUCCCGCAACGAGCGCAACCCUUGUCCUUAGUUACCAGCGGUUUGGCCGGGAACUCUAAGGAUACUGCCAGUGACAAACUGGAGGAAGGCGGGGACGACGUCAAGUCAUCAUGGCCCUUACGACCAGGGCUACACACGUGCUACAAUGGUAGGUACAGAGGGCAGCUACACAGCGAUGUGAUGCGAAUCUCAAAAAGCCUAUCGUANUCCAGAUUGGAGUCUGCAACUCGACUCCAUGAAGUAGGAAUCGCUAGUAAUCGCGGAUCAGAAUGCCGCGGUGAAUACGUUCCCGGGCCUUGUACACACCGCCCC